rnacentral:rRNA from 1 species
AACCCAGUGUGACUCGUCACACUAUCAUUAACUGAAUCCAUAGGUUAAUGAGGCGAACCGGGGGAACUGAAACAUCUAAGUACCCCGAGGAAAAGAAAUCAACCGAGAUUCCCCCAGUAGCGGCGAGCGAACGGGGAGGAGCCCAGAGCCUGAAUCAGCAUGUGUGUUAGUGGAAGCGUCUGGAAAGGCGCGCGAUACAGGGUGACAGCCCCGUACACAAAAGCGCAUGUGCUGUGAGCUCGAUGAGUAGGGCGGGACACGUGGUAUCCUGUCUGAAUAUGGGGGGACCAUCCUCCAAGGCUAAAUACUCCUGACUGACCGAUAGUGAACCAGUACCGUGAGGGAAAGGCGAAAAGAACCCCGGCGAGGGGAGUGAAAAAGAACCUGAAACCGUGUACGUACAAGCAGUGGGAGCACCCUUUGGGUGUGACUGCGUACCUUUUGUAUAAUGGGUCAGCGACUUAUAUUCUGUAGCAAGGUUAACCGAAUAGGGGAGCCGGAGGGAAACCGAGUCUUAACCGGGCGUUAAGUUGCAGGGUAUAGACCCGAAACCCGGUGAUCUAGCCAUGGGCAGGUUGAAGGUUGGGUAACACUAACUGGAGGACCGAACCGACUAAUGUUGAAAAAUUAGCGGAUGACCUGUGGCUGGGGGUGAAAGGCCAAUCAAACCGGGAGAUAGCUGGUUCUCCCCGAAAGCUAUUUAGGUAGCGCCUCGUGAAUUCAUCUCCGGGGGUAGAGCACUGUUUCGGCUAGGGGGCCAUCCCGGCUUACCAACCCGAUGCAAACUGCGAAUACCGGAGAAUGUUAUCACGGGAGACACACGGCGGGUGCUAACGUCCGUCGUGAAGAGGGAAACAACCCAGACCGCCAGCUAAGGUCCCAAAGUCAUGGUUAAGUGGGAAACGAUGUGGGAAGGCCCAGACAGCCAGGAUGUUGGCUUAGAAGCAGCCAUCAUUUAAAGAAAGCGUAAUAGCUCACUGGUCGAGUCGGCCUGCGCGGAAGAUGUAACGGGGCUAAACCAUGCACCGAAGCUGCGGCAGCGACACUGUGUGUUGUUGGGUAGGGGAGCGUUCUGUAAGCCUGUGAAGGUGUGUCGUGAGGCAUGCUGGAGGUAUCAGAAGUGCGAAUGCUGACAUAAGUAACGAUAAAGCGGGUGAAAAGCCCGCUCGCCGGAAGACCAAGGGUUCCUGUCCAACGUUAAUCGGGGCAGGGUGAGUCGACCCCUAAGGCGAGGCCGAAAGGCGUAGUCGAUGGGAAACGGGUUAAUAUUCCCGUACUUGGUGUUACUGCGAAGGGGGGACGGAGAAGGCUAUGUUGGCCGGGCGACGGUUGUCCCGGUUUAAGCGUGUAGGUGUGUGUUCCAGGUAAAUCCGGUUCACUUUAACACUGAGGCGUGACGACGAGGCACUACGGUGCUGAAGCAACAAAUGCCCUGCUUCCAGGAAAAGCCUCUAAGCAUCAGGUAACAUCAAAUCGUACCCCAAACCGACACAGGUGGUCAGGUAGAGAAUACCAAGGCGCUUGAGAGAACUCGGGUGAAGGAACUAGGCAAAAUGGUGCCGUAACUUCGGGAGAAGGCACGCUGACACGUAGGUGAAGUGAUUUACUCAUGGAGCUGAAGUCAGUCGAAGAUACCAGCUGGCUGCAACUGUUUAUUAAAAACACAGCACUGUGCAAACACGAAAGUGGACGUAUACGGUGUGACGCCUGCCCGGUGCCGGAAGGUUAAUUGAUGGGGUCAGCGCAAGCGAAGCUCCUGAUCGAAGCCCCGGUAAACGGCGGCCGUAACUAUAACGGUCCUAAGGUAGCGAAAUUCCUUGUCGGGUAAGUUCCGACCUGCACGAAUGGCGUAAUGAUGGCCAGGCUGUCUCCACCCGAGACUCAGUGAAAUUGAACUCGCUGUGAAGAUGCAGUGUACCCGCGGCAAGACGGAAAGACCCCGUGAACCUUUACUAUAGCUUGACACUGAACAUUGAGCCUUGAUGUGUAGGAUAGGUGGGAGGCUUUGAAGUGUGGACGCCAGUCUGCAUGGAGCCGACCUUGAAAUACCACCCUUUAAUGUUUGAUGUUCUAACGUGGACCCGUUACCCGGGUUGCGGACAGUGUCUGGUGGGUAGUUUGACUGGGGCGGUCUCCUCC